rnacentral:rRNA from 1 species
CCUACGGGAGGCAGCAGUGGGGAAUCUUGCACAAUGGGGGAAACCCUGAUGCAGCGACGCCGCGUGAGUGAAGAAGGAUUUCGGUAUGUAACGCUCUAUCAGCAGGGAAGAAGCAAGACGGUACCUGACUUAGAAGCCCCGGCGAACUACGUGCCAGAAGCCGCGGUAAUACGUAGGGGGACAGCGUUAUCCGGAUUGACUGGGUGUAAAGGGACCGUAGACGGUGGGGCAAGUCUGAAGUGAAAGCCCAGGGCUUAACCCUGGGACUGCUUUGGAAACUGUUAGACUAGAGUGCUGGAGAGGUGAGUGGAAUUCCUAGUGUAGCGGUGGAAUGCGUAGAUAUUAGGAGGAACACCAGUGGCGAAGGCGGCUUACUGGACAGUAACUGACGUUGAGGCUCGAAAGCGUGGGGAGCAAACAGGAUUAGAUACCCCUGUAGUC